GCCAGGCAUGGUGGUGCAUGCCUGUAACCCCAGCAACCUGGGGGCUGAGGCAGGAGGAUCUCAAAUUCCAGGCCAGCCUCAGCAACUUAGCAAGGCCCUAAACAACUUAGCAAGACCCUGUCUCAA
rnacentral:sRNA from 1 species